CGGGACGGGUGAGUAAUGUCUGGGAAACUGCCUGAUGGAGGGGGAUAACUACUGGAAACGGUAGCUAAUACCGCAUAACGUCGCAAGACCAAAGAGGGGACCUUCGGGCCUCUUGCCAUCGGAUGUGCCCAGAUGGGAUUAGCUAGUAGGUGGGGUAACGGCUCACCUAGGCGACGAUCCCUAGCUGGUCUGAGAGGAUGCCAGCCACACUGGAACUGAGACACGGUCCAG
rnacentral:rRNA from 1 species